UCCCAGCUAGCUCAGUCGGUAGAGCAUGAGAACCUAAAUCUCAGGGUCAUGGGUUUGAGUCCCACGUUGGGUG
rnacentral:tRNA from 1 species